rnacentral:rRNA from 1 species
CCUACGGGAGGCAGCAGUGAGGAAUAUUGGUCAAUGGGCGCGAGCCUGAACCAGCCAAGCAGCGUGAAGGAUGACGGCCCUACGGGUGGGAAACUGCUUUUAUAAAGGAGUAAAGUGAGGCACGUGUGCCUUUUUGUAUGUACGUUAUGAAUAAGGAUAGGCUAACUCCGUGCCAGCAGCCGCGGUAAUACGGAGGAUCCGAGCGUUAUCCGGAUUUAUUGGGUUUAAAGGGUGCGUAGAGGGGUGGUUAAGUCAGUUGUGAAAGUUUGCGGCUCAACCGUAAAAUUGCAUUUGAUACUGUCAGACUUGAGUGCAGUUGAGGUAGGCGGAAUUCGUGGUGUAGCGGUGAAAUGCUUAGAUAUCACGAAGAACACCGAUUGCGAAGGCAGCUUACUAAACUGCAACUGACAUUGAUGCUCGAAAGUGUGGGUAUCAAACAGGAUUAGAUACCCGAGUAGUC